rnacentral:tRNA from 1 species
CCAAACAUGUUGGUUACCACCUUCCUUUAUUA